rnacentral:rRNA from 1 species
GAUGAACGCUGGCGGCGUGCCUAAUACAUGCAAGUCGAGCGAAGCGGGGGCGGGUGAGUAACACGUGGAUAACCUCCUAUAAGACUGGGAAAACUUCGGGAAACCGGGGCUAACCCGGAUAAUUAAUGCUUGAUACGCGCUGCAUUAGCUAGUUGGUAAGGUAACGGAUUACCAAGGCAACGAUGACUAGCCGACCUGGGAGGGUGAUCGGCCACACUGGAACUGAGACACGGUCCAGACUCCUACGGGAGGAAGCAGUAGGGAAUCUUCCGCAAUGGGCGAAAGCCUGACGGAGCAACGCCGCGUGAGUGAAGAAGGUCUUCGGAUCGUAAAACUCUGUUAUUAGGGAAGCGGUACCUAAUCAGAAAGCCACGGCUAACUACGUGCCAGCAGCCGCGGUAAUAC